rnacentral:rRNA from 1 species
UACGAAGGGAGCUAGCGUUGUUCGGAAUCACUGGGCGUAAAGCGCACGUAGGCGGAUUUGCCAGUCAGGGGUGAAAUCCCGGGGCUCAACCUCGGAACUGCCUUUGAUACAGCAAGUCUUGAGUUCGAGAGAGGUGGGUGGAAUUCCUAGUGUAGAGGUGAAAUUCGUAGAUAUUAGGAAGAACACCAGUGGCGAAGGCGGCUCACUGGACUGGUAUUGACGCUGAGGUGCGAAAGCGUGGGGAGCAAACAGG